rnacentral:tRNA from 1 species
GGGAUGUUGCGAAGACUGAAACGCGGUGCUACACGAUGAAACAGAACCACCUACGGCUCAUAACCGCUUGGUUGGGGGUUCGAGUCCCUCCGGGCCCACCA